rnacentral:rRNA from 1 species
AGAAUCAACGCUGGCGGCGUGCCUAACACAUGCAAGUCGAACGAGAAAGUGGAGCAAUCCAUGAGUAAAGUGGCGACCGGGUGAGUAACACGUGACUAACCUACCUUCGAGUGGGGGAUAACCUCGGGAAACCGAGGCUAAUACCGCAUAACAUCGCAAGAUCAAAGCAGCAAUGCGCUGGAAGAGGGGGUCGCGGCUGAUUAGCUAGUUGGCGGGUAACGCCCACAAGGCGAAGAUCGGUAUCCGGCCUGAGAGGGCGCACGGACACACUGGAACUGAAACACGGUCCAGACUCCUACGGGAGGCAGCAGUGGGGAAUUUUGCGCAAUGGGGGAAACCCUGACGCAGCAACGCCGCGUGGAGGAUGAAGCCCCUUGGGGCGUAAACUCCUUUCGACCAAGACGAUAAUGACGGUACUGGUGGAAGAAGCACCGGCUAACUCUGUGCCAGCAGCCGC